rnacentral:rRNA from 1 species
GCCCAGACUCCUACGGGAGGCAGCAGUGGGGAAUAUUGCACAAUGGGGGAAACCCUGAUGCAGCGACGCCGCGUGAGUGAAGAAGUAUUUCGGUAUGUAAAGCUCUAUCAGCAGGGAAGAAAAUGACGGUACCUGACUAAGAAGCCCCGGCUAACUACGUGCCAGCAGCCGCGGUAAUACGUAGGGGGCAAGCGUUAUCCGGAUUUACUGGGUGUAAAGGGAGCGUAGACGGCCAGACAAGUCAGAAGUGAAAGCCCAGGGCUCAACCCUGGGACUGCUUUUGAAACUGCCGGGCUGGAGUGCAGGAGAGGUAAGCGGAAUUCCUAGUGUAGCGGUGAAAUGCGUAGAUAUUAGGAGGAACACCAGUGGCGAAGGCGGUCUGCUGGACAGCAACUGACGGUGAGGCGCGAAAGCGUGGGGAGCAAACAGGAUUAGAUACCCUAGUA